AACUUAAAUAGUCCUAGAACAAGACUAUUCGCCAGAGUACUAUCGGCAACAGCCCAAAACUCAAAGGACUUGGCGGUGCUUCAUAUCCUUCUAGAGGAGCCUGUUCUGUAAACGAUAAACCACGAUUAACCUCACCAAUCCUUGCUACUUCAGUCUAUAUACCGCCAUCUUCAGCAAACCCUAAAAAAGGAAUGAAAGUAAGCACAACUAUUGCACGUAAAAACGUUAGGUCAAGGUGUAACCUAUGGAUUGGGAAGAAAUGGGCUACAUUUUCUACAAUAAGAACACCCCCUAAACUUAUACGAAAGUUUUUAUGAAAUCUAAAAACUAAAGGAGGAUUUAGCAGUAAAUUAAGAAUAGAAUGCUUAAUUGAAUAAGGCCAUGAAGCACGC
rnacentral:rRNA from 1 species